UCUCCGUUGGUGAACCAGCGGAUGGAUCAUUACCGAGUUUACAACUCCCAAACCCCUGUGAACAUACCAUUUGUUGCCUCGGCGGUGCCUGCUUCGGCAGCCCGCCAGAGGACCCAAACCCUUGAUUUUAUACAGUAUCUUCUGAGUAAAUGAUUAAAUAAAUCAAAACUUUCAACAACGGAUCUCUUGGUUCUG
rnacentral:misc_RNA from 1 species